rnacentral:rRNA from 1 species
GACGAACGUUGGCGGCGUGCUUAACACAUGCAAGUCGAACGGCAAGGCCCUUCGGGGUACACGAGUGGCGAACGGGUGAGUAACACGUGGGUAAUCUGCCCUGCACUUCGGGAUAAGCCUGGGAAACUGGGUCUAAUACCGGAUAUUCAGCUUCUGCCGCAUGGUGGUGGUUGGAAAGUUUUUCGGUGCAGGAUGAGCCCGCGGCCUAUCAGCUUGUUGGUGGGGUAAUGGCCUACCAAGGCGACGACGGGGUAGCCGGCCUGAGAGGGUGAUCGGCCACACUGGGACUGAGACACGGCCCAG